AGCUCCAAUAGCGUAUAUUAAAGUUGUUGCAGUUAAAAAGCUCGUAGUUGGAUUUCGGAGUGGGCCAGUUGGUCCGCCUUUAAUGGUGUGUUACUGGCUGGUCCGUUCUUCUUCGCAAAGACUGCGCUUUCUCUUCAUUGAGUGGGCGUAGGAUUUACGGCGUUUACUUUGAAAAAAUUAGAGUGUUCAAAGCAGGCAAUCGCUUGAAUACAUGAGCAUGGAAUAAUGGAAUAGGACUUUGGUCUUAUUUUGUUGGUUUCUGAGACCGAAGUAAUGAUUAAGAGGGACAGUUGGGGGCAUUCGUAUUUCGUUGUCAGAGGUGAAAUUCUUGGAUUUACGAAAGACGAACAAUUGCGAAAGCAUUUGCCAAGAAUGUUUUCA
rnacentral:rRNA from 1 species